GUCCUCUUGAUAAUAAUUUGAGGUCUAGCCUGCUCACUGACAAGGUUUUAAAGAGCCGCGGUAUUUUGACCGUGCAAAGGUAGCAUAAUCAUUAGUCUCUUAAUUAGGGGCUGGAAUGAAUGGCUUGACGAGAAAUCAACUGUCUCUUAAUAAUUUUUAAAAUUUAACUUUUGAGUUAAAAGGCUUAAAUUUUUCUUUAGGACGAGAAGACCCUAUAGAGCUUAACAUUUUAUUUUUAUAUAGUUUUUAGUAAGUCUUCCUAUAUUUAAUGAUAAUGUUUUGUUGGGGUGACAUGAAGAAUAGCUAAACUCUUCAUUAUAAAAUCAUUGAUUUAUGUCUAUCAUGAUCCAUAAUUUAUGAUCAUAAGAUUAAGUUACCUUAGGGAUAACAGCGUAAUUGUUUUUGAGAGCUCAUAUCGACAAAGCAGAUUGCGACCUCGAUGUUGGAUUAAGAAAAAUUUUGGGUGCAGGAGCCCAAAAAUUAGGUCUGUUCGACCUUUAAAUUCUUACA
rnacentral:rRNA from 1 species